rnacentral:rRNA from 1 species
GACGAACGCUGGCGGCGUGCUUAACACAUGCAAGUCGAACGGAAAGGCCCUGAUUUUGUGGGGUGCUCGAGUGGCGAACGCGUGAGUAACACGUGUGUAACCCGCCCUUGUCUUUGGGAUAACUUCAGGAAAAUCGGGCUAAUGCCGCAGAGGAGCUCUUGAACCAUGGGGGGGGUUGGAAAGUUUCGGCGGUUGGGGCUGGACUCGCGGCUUCUCAGCUUGUUGGUGGGGUAGUGGCUUACCAAGGUUUUGACGGGUAGCCGGCCUGGGAGGGUGGACGGCGUCCUUGGGCCUGAGGUACGGCCCAGUCUCCUAUGGGAGGCAGCAGUCGGGAAUAUUACGCAGCGGGCGGAAGCCUGAUGCAGCAACGCCGCGUUCGGAAUGCCCGCCUUCGAGUUGAAAACCGCUUUGGCCUGUGCCGAACCGUUAGUGACGGUAAUUGGUAAGAAAGCACCGGCUAACUACGUG